CACGUCUGCAGAGGGCUUCAUGAGACAGUAAUAAAUAUGGUUGUUUACACCUCUGUACCUCAUAAAGACCUCCAAGCAUUCUGUACACCAGCUCAAGAUGACUUGCUUGAAAUGGAAAAAGGCUGUUUUCAGCAGUAGUUAGCCCCUAUACUGGCAGUGUUUCACAGAAAAGGAAAGUGAAGCUUGGAAAAGUGAAACCACUUGCUCUAAGUGGCAGGAAGAGGUGGCGUUGAACCCCAGGGCUCUUGCAUUCAAAAGCUCUUUUGGAAAGAGAAAAGGAAAAGUGCAGCUGACUGAACUGUGAAGCAAAGGAGCUAAGAAGCCUGGAUGCCAACCCCAAGGGUCCUGAAGAGUCCCAUUGAGGAGCUCCUUACAGCAGAAAGCCCAUUUCUCAGAGGCACAUACAUGGUCCAGAGCCAAGAAGGUCCAGAAAGCAAGACUGCAUCCUUCACCAAGGAAGGUGAUUGUGAUGUGGACACUUCAAGGGGGAACAAAAAAAAAUCUUCCUUUGAAAACCUAACAUUGGCUCUGCCAAUUCAAUUUCACCGAGGUCCUUUGAGAACUGAGUUCAAAGGUUCUCUACAGCUUCCAUUUACUUUGGCAUAAGAUUUAACAGAAAAAGAAUUAAGGGAGAAUUUAUAUGGGCCAGGCUGUUUUCCAAAUCUCAGACUGCUAAAAGUUAUUUAGAAUUUGCUUUAACUUGCAAUCCUAUGUAAAGUGGUUCAGAUGUAAAUGCUUUCCGUGUGGCCUGAGGCAAUCUAGGUUUCCUCAAAUGCACAUGUGCCAUUCGAAUAUUAAAGAUUUUGAUUGGAAAUCUCAAAGUACAUUGGGUUCCUCUUGAUUAGAGACUGCUGUUACUUUAUGCGACAUUGGGUCAGAGGAGGAGAAAUAAAACAUACUGCCUUCAUUUGGGCAUUAUAUUCUCACAGUAGCUCUAACAUAAACAAACUUCACAGGCUGAGAGAAGGGCAUUUGCUCCUUUAAAUUGAGUAUGUAAUGUAAAUAAAUGUCUUCUAAGAAAGGAUGGCUGAAACUUGAUUCUGAGUCUGAACCUAUACAAGGG
rnacentral:lncRNA from 10 species